rnacentral:rRNA from 1 species
GGGAUAACACUUGAAAACAGGUGCUAAUACCGCAUAACCAUAGUUACCGCAUGGUAACUAUGUAAAAGGUGGCUAUGCUACCGCUUUUGGAUGGGCCCGCGACGCAUUAGCUAGUUGGUGGGGUAAAGGCUUACCAAGGCAAUGAUGCGUAGCCGAACUGAGAGGUUGAUCGGCCACAUUGGGACUGAGACACGGCCCAAACUCCUACGGGAGGCAGCAGUAGGGAAUCUUCCACAAUGGGCGAAAGCCUGAUGGAGCAACGCCGCGUGGGUGAAGAAGGUCUUCGGAUCGUAAAACCCUGUUGUUAGAGAAGAAAGUGCGUGAGAGUAACUGUUCACGUUUCGACGGUAUCUAACCAGAAAGCCACGGCUAACUACGUGCCAGCAGCCGCGGUAAUACGUAGGUGGCAAGCGUUAUCCGGAUUUAUUGGGCGUAAAGAGAACGCAGGCGGUCUUUUAAGUCUGAUGUGAAAGCCUUCGGCUUAACCGGAGUAGUGCAUUGGAAACUGGGAGACUUGAGUGCAGAAGAGGAGAGUGGAACUCCAUGUGUAGCGGUGAAAUGCGUAGAUAUAUGGAAGAACACCAGUGGCGAAAGCGGCUCUCUGGUCUGUAACUGACGCUGAGGUUCGAAAGCGUGGGUAGCAAACAGGAUUAGAUACCCUGGUAGUCCACGCCGUAAACGAUGCAUGAUAGGUGUUGGAG